UUCCGCGUGGCGCAGCCGGUAGCGCUUUUGACACCUGUCAGACAGGUCCCGGGUUCAACCCCCUCUGAGGCAA